rnacentral:rRNA from 1 species
UACGUAGGGGGCAAGCGUUGUCCGGAUUUAUUGGGCGUAAAGAGCGUGUAGGCGGCCUGACAGGUCUGCUGUGAAAACUCGAGGCUCAACCUCGAGAUGUCGGCGGAAACCGUCUGGCUAGAGUCCGGAAGAGGAGAGUGGAAUUCCUGGUGUAGCGGUGAAAUGCGCAGAUAUCAGGAAGAACACCUAUGGCGAAGGCAGCUCUCUGGGGACGGUACUGACGCUGAGACGCGAAAGCGUGGGGAGCGAACAGG